AUGGCGUCUCUUUCCGACGCCAACUCCACCACGAAUGGCGGCGGCGCCGCCGCGACUGCAAGAUCGGAUCUGGGUGAUUUCUUCGAUCAACCGGAUCUUAACGAUGAAGAAUUCGCUGACAUAGAGAUUGAUGAGGAUGACCCCGAGAUUCAGGAAAGUGUUCGUUGGCUUGCCCUAGCUAGGGUUCAUACAAACAAAAUCUUCAGCCCAUCGGCCUUCUACAAGGAGAUGAGAGCUACGUGGAAUCCGACGCAAAGUGUGAGAUUUCGGCCCGUCGGCCCUAAUCGUUUUGUCGUCCAAGCAUCCUGCUUGGGGGAUUGGGAACGCAUCAUGCUGCAAGGUCCUUGGUUGUUCCGCAAUAUGGUUGUGCUCUUGUGCCCGUAUGAUGGCUUCAGCAAAGCGGAGGAAGUAGAGUUCUUUCAUAUGCCAAUAUGGCUGCAGAUUCACAAGUUACCAGACCCAUACUGUAAACAGAAUAUUGUGGAGAAGCUGUUGAAAGGAGCUGGAGAGAUAAUGGAGAUGCGUCUGAAUGGGAAUACACGAGGUGAUUAUAUAAGGGCAAGGGUGAAGCAUGAUAUCCGACAGGCCCUCACAAAAUAUGUUAGUAUUGUCCGUGCUAAGGAACGUCAUGUAUACCUGGUUCGCUAUGAAAAGCUUGCUAGGUUUUGUAAGAUGUGUGGCCUCAUUGGUCAUGAACACAAAGAA
rnacentral:rRNA from 1 species